AUGUUUUCCCCUGCAAAGACAUUUGCAGUCUGUGUACUUUCGGGAAGGAACUCUCCGCGGACUCUGCCGCCCCCGCCCUGCCCGGAGUCGCCCCUCACCCUCUUGAUGCAGUCCUCACUUCGCGCUCCCAAAGCUAAGACACAGCCUGGACUGCCGGAUACGGAAAAUUACCCCAAUCACUCCAGGGAAAGUGAUUACUUUUGGAGAACACUGAACAAAAACUAA
rnacentral:lncRNA from 1 species